AAGGGGUAAACGGGAGAAAUCCUGAAUUCGAAAGGUCGUUGGGGAUUCAUGUCUCUCCGAUCGUCAGGCCGCAUGGCCUCGCCAGAUGGCGUCGGUCGCCCGCGGCGAUUCACUUCGUCCGCGGUGUCGUUACUGGCGUUCACUCGGCUGAGGUGGUGGAUCUCUGGCUUCGGAGGGCUGCACUUCCUCCCUUGUAGAAACGUCGCGACCCGUUGGGUGUCGGUCUCAAGUCCAUGGAUGGCAGACCGUGUGCUAUGCGACAACAUAUCGCUGGCCACGGACUCUGUGAGAUCUGGCCGGCUGCCCGACGGUAUGACCAGAGGGGACGAUCCGCUUACAAUGCAAAACACUUGGGAUGUGAAGCGUCCGGCUCCAGAAACCGAGGUGCGCAGGGAUAGUGGUUGAAAAAUCGCGGACGCCGUGCAUGCACGGGUCUUGGCCCUGAGUGUCCUCGAGCUGGUGUCCUCGGACUGGAUCUUGACCCCCGUCUGCGACGCCCUCCUUCGGAUGGUCUCCCGACCCGUCUUGAAACACGGACCAAGGAGUCUAACAUGUGCGCGAGUCAUGGGGUUGCACUAAACCUAAAGGCGAAAUGAAAGUGAAAGCCGCAAUGUUGUGGGCGGCCGAGGGAAGAGGGUAACAUUUUACGGGCGAGCUACCGCGUGAGCGGUUGGCUCGUGCCGGCCUGCAUUCCCGGGGCGUCUCGUCCUCAUUGCGAGGUGAGGCGCACCUAGAGCGUACACGUUGGGACCCGAAAGAUGGUGAACUAUGCCUGGCCAGGACGAAGUCAGGGGAAACCCUGAUGGAGGUCCGUAGCGAUUCUGACGUGCAAAUCGAUCGUCGGAGCUGGGUAUAGGGGCGAAAGACUAAUCGAACCAUCUAGUAGCUGGUUCCCUCCGAAGUUUCCCUCAGGAUAGCUGUCACUCGGAGGAUUUUAAGAAAAACAGAGUCUCAUACGGUAAAGCGAAUGAUUAGAGGCCUUGGGGCCGAAACGACCUCAACCUAUUCUCAAACUUUAAAUGGGUGAGACCUCCGGCUUGCUUGAGGUAAUGAAGCCGGAGACGGAUCUUGAGUGACAAGUGGGCCACUUUUGGUAAGCAGAACUGGCGCUGUGGGAUGAACCAAACGCCGAGUUAAGGCGCCUGAAUCGGCGCUCAUGGGAGACCAUGAAAGGCGUUGGUUGCUUAAGACAGCAGGACGGUGGCCAUGGAAGUCGGAAUCCGCUAAGGAGUGUGUAACAACUCACCUGCCGAAGCAACUAGCCCUGAAAAUGGAUGGCGUUGAAGCGUCGUGCCUAUACUCGGCCGUCAGUGGCAUUGGGAGUGGUCGAGGCUUCUGCCUCGGCGCUCGAAGAAGCCCUGACGAGUAGGAGGGUCGCGGCGGUGAGCGCAGAAGGGCAGUGGCGUGAGCCUGCCUGGAGCCGCCGUCGGUGCAGAUCUUGGUGGUAGUAGCAAAUACUCCAGCGAGGCCCUGGAGGCCUGAAGCGGAGCAGGGUUUCGUGUGAACAGCCGUUGCACACGAGUCAGUCGAUCCUAAGCCCUAUGUGAAAAUUGAUGCCGAUGGGUGGUCGAAAGAAAGAUGGAAAUGACGCAACUGACCGAAAACCCCCGGCGGGCGAAAGGGAAUCCGGUUCCCAUUCCGGAACCCGGCAACGGAACCGUUCCAAAUCGGGCCCUCGCGAGAGUGUUCGUCGGGGUAACCCAACAGGACCCGGAGACGCCGUCGGGAGGUCUGGGAAGAGUUUUCUUUUCUGUAUGAGCGUUCGAGUUCCCUGGAAUCCUCUAGCAGGGAGAUAGGGUUUGGGACGCGAAGAGCACCGCAGUUGCGGCGGUGUCCAGAUCUUCCCCACGGACCAUGAAAAUCCGGGAGAGGGCCACGCGGAGCAUUCGUGCCGGUUCGUACCCAUAUCCGCAGCAGGUCUCC
rnacentral:rRNA from 1 species